ACCUGGCUGGCUCAGUUGGUAGAGCCUAUGACUUCUGAUCUCAGGGUUAUGAGUUUAAGCCCCAUGCUGGGUA
rnacentral:tRNA from 1 species